rnacentral:rRNA from 1 species
UACGUAGGCAGCAAGCGUUGUUCGGAAUUACUGGGCGUAAAGAGUGUGUAGGCGGUGCUCUAAGUUCGGUGUGAAAUCUCCCGGCUCAACUGGGAGGGUGCGCCGAAAACUGGGGUGCUGGAGCGCGGGAGAGGAAAGCGGAAUUCCUGGUGUAGCGGUGAAAUGCGUAGAUAUCAGGAGGAACACCGGCGGUGUAGACGGCUUUCGUGG